GAGAGGGAGGGUGCUUGAGCACUGUUGACUUGUCUGGUCCCUGCUGAAGUGUCAUUUGAACGUUUGGCAGGAGACACACCUCCACUUGCUCCACACACACAACGCUCACUGAACGUCACACACAGCAGAUCAAACUCCACUCCAGCGGACUACUUCGACAGGACAUGUGCUUAUCUUCCCUUCUCUUUGUGAUUUGGAGAGCUUUUUUACUGUAUUUGUUUUAAUGGGAACUUUCUUUUAAUGCUUCACAUCUGCUGUUCAGCUGUGUGGACCUUGAGAAACUUCCAAGCUGUUGGAUAUGAUUGUUUUUAGGAUAACCGAGGGAGAGGUGAAAAGGAGUCAUUGAUGGUGUUGUUCAAGAUUUGGACAUACGGUGGUAUAAAAUGCAAGUUUAAAUCCAUUGUAUUUCAGUCAGCACUAUAAAAAACGACGAGUCUUAAGUUAACAGACGUGUCUUGUACUUACAGAAGUUAUGCGUCUCUUAGCUGUUGCUUGUUUCUCCUUUUCCAACUGACAAACUCACCUUGACUUGGGCACAUUUAAAAAACGCAAAAUGAGCUCAAACAGCACCAUAUGUCCUAACGGGACACAAGCCAUUGAACAACAAGGAUUCAAAACUCUGGUGCUGGUUGUCAUGGUGAUCAUCAUUAUCGUCAUGGGUAACCUUCUGGUCAUCAUCGCAAUAGCUCGCACCUCACAGCUGCAGACUACGACAAACAUCUUCAUCAUGUCUUUGGCAUGUGCUGACCUCAUCAUGGGGGUACUGGUGGUGCCGAUGGGUGCCACGAUUGUCAUAACGGGUAAAUGGCAGCUCGAUCAUACUAUGUGCGAGUUAUGGACAUCAGUGGACGUGUUAUGUGUUACUGCCAGCAUAGAGACCCUAUGUGUAAUUGCGGUGGAUCGGUUUAUCGCCAUCGCGCGCCCGCUGCGAUACAAAGUGCUUCUGAAUAAGUGCAGGGCUCGAUUUAUCGUGUGUGUCGUGUGGGGGGUCUCUGCUCUGAUCUCCUUCGUGCCCAUCAUGAACCAGUACUCGAGGGCAAUGGAAGACAAGGAAGCAUAUUGUUGUUACAUUGACGAAAACUGCUGUGACUUUGUAACAAACAAGCCCUACGCAAUUAUAUCCUCCAUCGUUUCAUUCUACGUCCCACUACUCGUCAUGAUAUUCGUCUACGCUCGGGUCUUCCUCAUUGCCACGCGACAGGUACAGUUAAUUGACAAGAACCGCCUGAGGUUCCAAAAUGAAUGCAUGGGCAAUCAGGCACAACCAUCGCUGCAAGGCAACAACAACCUCCCGUCGUGUAACAACGGUGGGGGCUCGGCGUCCAUGCGCAAGGGUUCUCGCAGACGAUCCUCGAGACUCACCGUCGUCAAAGAGCACAAGGCUCUAAAGACUCUGGGCAUCAUCAUGGGGAUCUUCACACUUUGUUGGCUGCCCUUUUUCGUGGCGAACAUCAUCAAAGUGUUUAAUCGAGAUGUGCCAACGAAGGAGAUUUUUCGCUGGUUAAACUGGCUGGGCUACAUUAACUCAGGCCUGAACCCCAUCAUCUACUGUCGGAGCCCCGAGUUUCGUGCGGCCUUUAAAAAUAUUCUUGGCUGUCCCUGGAUAUCCUUGCUGAGAAUGAACAUCCUCUACAAGGAGCUUCGGACUCGGUGCCCCUGCUUUUUGGGGUCUGCAGAGCGGGGAAUGGCGGAAUCUUUCCAUAAGCCCCCCACGUUGACAGGGACACUGUCUGGGGAUGGAAGCAUGGGGAGCAGUCAAAGCAGCUGCAGGAGCGAGGAGACGUCGCCGGGACCCCCUCACUCCAAUGGCAGCACGUACUUCAGUGAAACAGAGGCAGAGUUGGGGAUAAAGCUCCAGGUUGAGCAGGGCUGUGUUGAAGUCUUCUCGGAUUGCAGAGGGACUUAACUUGUUCAACAUUUCACGUAAAAAUGAAUUAGCAGUCAUGGUACGACUCUUUGGAACGUAAAAGGGACUUUCAUUCAGCUGUAACCUACAAGAGCAGGAUGCCUGAGCUCAUCAAAAAUGGUUGAAAGAAGCUGAGGAGGAUAUGAAGACCUCGGUCACAGUUGGCUGACCUUCCCCAGCAGGGACCACAAGGGACCAGAGAAAUACCCAAUAAAGCAAUAAGGGGAGCCUCCUCUAAAAAAUGACAGAAAGAUCAGAAGGAGGCAAACUACAAACAAGCGCUGGCCCAAGAGAAAGAGCCUGAACUGGUACUGCUUACUAGGAAUAAUGGAGUGAUCCGUACUGGUUACAUUCCAUUAAGGCGAGGAGUACAGGCGUUGGCCUUGGUUGGUCCAGUCUGUAUGGCAAACAAUGAAUCCAACCUGUAGGACUUAAUUUUGAAAGACUUUGUUAGUUUAUGCACACAUAUGUUGUUGAUGAUUUCAAAUAUAGGAAUUAGACAGAUUUUGUACAAUAUAUUAAAUUAUUUUCUAUUUAUUUUACUCCCCACAUUUUAGCUGUGAAUGUACGAAAAUCUUACCACAUUAACAUAUCUGUGUUUUUUCAAAUACCAUUGUUCAUUUAAAAAGGAAAGUUCUCCCCGAGAUGAAAAUUCUGUCAUCAUUUAUCCACCCUCUCAUAAUUUCAAACCUGUAUUACUUUCUUUCUUCUGCAAAGCACAAAAGAAGAUAUUUUGAAGAAUGUUAUUAAACAGAAACCGUUGGUCCUAAUUCACUUCUAUUGAAUGGGACCAACGUUUUUUGUUACCAACAUUCUUCAAAAUAUCUUACUUUCUUAAUAAGAAUAGAAGUCAUACAGGUUUGAAAUGACAUGAGUGUGAGUAAACGAUAACAGAAUUUUCAUUUUGGGGUGAACUAUCACUUUAAGCAGUCUAUCAACCGUCUAUCAACAGUAUAAGCUACAAGACUUCUGGGUCACCCCGUCGAUACUGCAAAGAGGUAUGACAAAAUUUGAAAGCUCUUGAGAGCACUGUGAACGAUAAUCGAAGUGUAUGUAGCCAUCUUCAGUAGUAUAGUUAAAUGUAGCAUUUGGGUUGGUCACAAGACAUUUUGCUUGCUGUGUAGACGUGUCAAAAAAUCCAGCAGAUAAUAAAAAGAAGUCAAAUUA